GAUGAACGCUGGCGGCGUGCCUAAUACAUGCAAGUCGAGCGAACAGAUGAGGAGCUUGCUCCUCUGACGUUAGCGGCGGACGGGUGAGUAACACGUGGAUAACCUACCUAUAAGACUGGGAUAACUUCGGGAAACCGGAGCUAAUACCGGAUAAUAUAUUGAACCGCAUGGUUCAAUAGUGAAAGACGGUUUUGCUGUCACUUAUAGAUGGAUCCGCGCCGCAUUAGCUAGUUGGUAAGGUAACGGCUUACCAAGGCAACGAUGCGUAGCCGACCUGAGAGGGUGAUCGGCCACACUGGAACUGAGACACGGUCCAGACUCCUACGGGAGGCAGCAGUAGGGAAUAUUCCGCAAUGGGCGCAAGCCUGACGGAGCAACGCCGCGUGAGUGAUGAAGGUCUUCGGAUCGUAAAACUCUGUUAUUAGGGAAGAAAAAAUGUGUAAGUAACUAUGCACGUCUUGACGGUACCUAAUCAGAAAGCCACGGCUAACUACGUG
rnacentral:rRNA from 1 species